UCAGGCACGAGCUCAGGUCAGUCACU
rnacentral:piRNA from 1 species